GAAUCAGUAGUAUAGUGGUUAAUAUACUCGCCUUCCAUGGAUCACCAGGUGAUAGCGAGUGUCCCGAGUUCGAAUCUCGGCUGAUUCA